GAGGUUGUAGUCAAAUUGGUAGAUUCCUGGAGAUGUGGGUUCGAGUCCCACCAACCUCA
rnacentral:tRNA from 1 species